UUUCUGUAGGUGAACGUGCGGAAGGAUCAUUAUUGAUUGUUGCCAGCGCUUGAUUGCGCGGCGGCCCUUUCUACCCAUGCUUAUACGUAUUAAAUCUGUGGGCAACCACACUAAACACAACUAAACUUUUAAAACACACAGUCAAACACAAAAACAAAAUAUUCAAAACUUUCAACAACGGAUCUCUUGGUUCUCGCAACGAUGAAGAACGCAGCGAAUUGCGAUAAGUAUUGUGAAUUGCAGAUUUUCGUGAAUCAUCGAAUCUUUGAACGCACAUUGCGCCCUCUGGUAUUCCGGAGGGCAUGCCUGUUUGAGCGUCAUUUCUCUCUCAAGACGCAAGUUUUGGUAUUGAGUGAUACUCUCUCUGGAGUUAACUUGAAAUAGGAGGAUGCGUGGGCGUGACAUGAGCGCGUGCGAUAAGGAUAAUGUAUUAGGUUCUGCCGACUCGUUAUGUAUUAUUGUAUUACCUCGGUAACACCCAGCACAACAAAACUCCCAAGUUUGACCUCAAAUCAGGUAGGACAACCCGCUGAACUUAA
rnacentral:rRNA from 1 species